UUUAUUAGGUAGUAAUCCAGGCCUAGAACCUGUGUGUCUAAACCCAUACAGUCUGCAAAAUAUCUGCAACAUUUACAAAUAUGAUUACGGACCUGUUAGGCACAGAACAGAAGAAGAGCGUUUGAGGCAUCUUGCCUAUCGCAGCUUUGUAAGCUGGUGCUGGGGUUACUUAGGACCUAGUCGUCGGGUCAUCAUCCCGUCAUGUGUGGUGCAGACCACCUAUUGAUUGAAGCGGGAGACGUGAUGGGCAACCAGCUCAGCCUUUGGAGUUUUCGGGAAUUCUGCUGAGAGAUCUGGAGGGAUGGGGAUGGUCUUCAAUUCCUCUGCAAAAGAUGCUUCACAAUGCCUUCCCCCCUCUUCGCCUUUGGAAAAACAACCUUGAAAACGGCCUGUCCUGUAGAUGUUGUGGCUUGCUCCCGCAUAGCAUUUUCAUUGUGGUGCAUUGCUGCUAGAUACAACCUAUGGUAACAACACAGCAAAAUGAUUAAAUACAUAG